AUAGCGUAUAUUAAAGUUGUUGUGGUUAAAAAGCUCGUAGUUGGAUCUCAGUUCGAGUCAGGCCGUCCACUUGCCAGUGGCUACUGCCUGACUGAACACUUUACCGAGUUGUCCUAUGGUGUUCUUCACCGAGCGUCAUAGGCGAUCGGUACGUUUACUUUGAAAAAAUUAGAGUGCUCAAAGCAGGCGUAACGCCCGAAUAAUGUUGCAUGGAAUAAUGGAAUAGGACCUCGGUUCUAUUUUGUUGGUCUUCGGAAUCAGAGGUAAUGAUCAAUAGGGACAGACGGGGACAUUCGUAUUGCGGCGCUAGAGGUGAAAUUCUUGGACCGUCGCAAGACGAACUAAAG
rnacentral:rRNA from 1 species